rnacentral:rRNA from 1 species
UACGGGGGGGGCAAGCGUUGUUCGGAAUUACUGGGCGUAAAGGGCUCGUAGGUGGCCAACUAAGUCAGACGUGAAAUCCCUCGGCUUAACCGGGGAACUGCGUCUGAUACUGGAUGGCUUGAGAUUGGGAGAGGGAUGCGGAAUUCCAGGUGUAGCGGUGAAAUGCGUAGAUAUCGGCAGGAACACCCAGGGGGAAACCAGUGGACUGGGCAGGCGCUGACACUGAGGUGCGAAAGCGUGGGGAGCGAACCGG